UACCAGCACCCCGAGUGGUCGGGACGAUUAUUGGGCCUAAAGCCUCCGUAGCCGGUUUUACAAGUCCCCCGUUAAAUCCAGCUGCUUAACAGAUGGGCUGCGGAGGAUACUAUAAGACUAGGAGGCAGGAGAGGCAAGCGGUACUCAGUGGGUAGGGGUAAAAUCCGUUGAUCCAUUGAAGACCACCAGUGGCGAAGGCGGCUUGCCAGAAUGCGCUCGACGGUGAGGGAUGAAAGCUGGGGGAGCAAACCGG
rnacentral:rRNA from 1 species